UACGAAGGGUGCAAGCGUUACUCGGAAUUACUGGGCGUAAAGCGUGCGCAGGCGGUUUGGUAAGACAGAUGUGAAAUCCCCGGGCUUAACCUGGGAAUUGCAUUUGUGACUGCCCGGCUAGAGUGUGUCAGAGGGGGGGUAGGAAUUCCACGUGUAGCAGUGAAAUGCGUAGAGAUGUGGAGGAAUACCGAUGGCGAAGGCAGCCCCCCUGGGAUAACACUGACGCUCAUGCACGAAAGCGUGGGGAGCAAACAGG
rnacentral:rRNA from 1 species